GUUAGGAUGGCCGAGAGGUCAAAGGCGCUGCGUUCAAUUCGCAGUAUCCACUGGAGGCGUGGGUUCGAAUCCCACUCCUGACA